AUUGAACGCUGGCGGCAUGCUUUACACAUGCAAGUCGAACGGUAACAGGCCUUCGGGUGCUGACGAGUGGCGAACGGGUGAGUAAUGCAUCGGAACGUGCCCAAUCGUGGGGGAUAACGUAGCGAAAGUUACGCUAAUACCGCAUAAGCCCUGAGGGGGAAAGCAGGGGAUCGCAAGACCUUGCGCGAAUGGAGCGGCCGAUGUCAGAUUAGCUAGUUGGUGGGGUAAAGGCCUACCAAGGCGACGAUCUGUAGCGGGUCUGAGAGGAUGAUCCGCCACACUGGGACUGAGACACGGCCCAGACUCCUACGGGAGGCAGCAGUGGGGAAUUUUGGACAAUGGGCGCAAGCCUGAUCCAGCCAUGCCGUGUGCGGGACGAAGGCCUCGGUUGUAA
rnacentral:rRNA from 1 species